UACGGAGGGUGCAAGCGUUAUCCGGAUUCACUGGGUUUAAAGGGUGCGUAGGUGGGUUGGUAAGUCCGUGGUGAAAUCUCCGAGCUUAACUCGGAAACUGCCGUGGAUACUAUCAAUCUUGAAUACUGUGGAGGUAAGCGGAAUAUGUCAUGUAGCGGUGAAAUGCUUAGAUAUGACAUAGAACACCGAUAGCGAAGGCAGCUUGCUACACAGUCAUUGACACUGAGGCACGAAAGCGUGGGGAGCAAACGGG
rnacentral:rRNA from 1 species